ACACACAGGAGCACAUACACCCACAAACCACAACACACAUAUACACCACAAAACACACAAGGUACACAUGGGAGCAGAAGAUAAAUAACUAUAUCAUUUUAAAAUAUAAGGUUUUAAACAGGGUCAAAGCAAGCUACAUACAACAUCAGUCAUGGAUUUACAAAGUGACACCAUUUUCCUGUGGCAUGACUGAGUUCUCAUGUUGGCCUGGACACACCUACUUAAUAUUCACACAACUCAUCCGAUAGAGUAACUUGCAGAAGCCAGGCCACCAAGUGACUUUACACAGCACUCAUUUCUAGAAUCUGUAUAAAGUGCUUUUAUUCAGACCUUCAUUGAUACCUUGAUUUUUUUUAAGUCACCUAGUUUGCACUUCUUUCUGAAGGAAAUGAGCCGCCAAAACUGUCUGUAUGCAACAAGAAGGUAAAAAUUUCAAUUAAGCUCAGUGCUGUCAUAAGCCGACCACGUGAGAGAACUUGGGAUAAUCCACAUUACAUAUUGAUGUCUAUCAGCCUGGAGACCACAGUCAUGACUCAUUCUUGCUUCCUCUUAUAGGCUUGGCAGCCACCGCACCCAAUAAAGGUUUAAUUGUAUUAAUUUAUGCCCUAUCAAUUAUACAUUCAGAUUCCCCAGAUAGCUUGUCAGAUUUUAUUCACUAUUUUCCAAAAUAUAUGCCUGUUACAGUUACCGUGCAUAGAGUCAGAGUGUCAGGAAUAGAGAUUUAAAGAAUAUUACUUAAAAGAGGUGGGCUUCCAUAAUCUAUAAAUGUUGUAUUGCAUGUCCCGCACAGGCUCGUGUUAGAAUCAGGAGCAGUGGGAAGCAGGAUGUUACAUGAAGGACUCGUAAGGAAGCAAGGGGUGGGGAUCAUUUCACUCCUUUUGCUCAGUUUUAACAGUUAUUUAAAUCAAACAAUCUUUGGUCUAUCAGUAAAGCACCUCAGAUAUUGUUGGAAGCAAUUGUUUGUUUUGUCCCUUAAGAUAUUAUACUUGACUAAGAUGUAAUAAGCCCAUCUUGCCUCCUCUCUAGCUUCACUGUGGCUGAAGGUCUUGUGAAGGUCUUUGGAGUAUCUAUGUGCUAUCUUUAAAGAUGAUUCCUGAGGUGUGUCUCCACACAGACACCGAUGCCUAUACAUGAGGGGGAAGAGUUUACUUUGGAUCUCGUUUUAAGAAAGGAUGCAGCCCUCGUUGACUGGAAGGCACGGAUGGCAUCAGAAAUGUGAGGCAGCUGCCCAUUUGCACCCAGUCAGAAAAUGCCUCUGCUUCAGUUCCUGCUUCCAGGUUCCUGCUUCAGCUGCUGACCUGACUUCGUUUGGUGAUGGAUGAUGACAAGGAAACACAAGCCAAAUAACCUCCUCCAACAACUGCUUUGGGUCCUGCUGAUUAUCACAGCCACUGAAAGCAAACUGGGAGAGAAGGAUGGGCAGGGAGACCGGCUUCUGUCGGUUCCCACCCCAUGUAUAUUAAACAGCCAGCGAGUGGCGGCUGCGUUUCUUGGUGACCCAGCGAGCGCAGGGAGUCCCUGGCCACCGCUCCGGCCCGCACGUUGACGCCGCCGCAGCCGCUGGCAAUUGCAGAGGGGCCUCUUGCAGCCAGAUUGCUUCCCAGACCCGGGGAUAAUUACUGUGCGAGCGCUCAUUCGCCUACCGUUCUUCAUAGCUUCAA